UUUAGGCGCUAAACAGCAGCCAAUCAGUUCUUCAGAUGAUCCAAGGUGCAAAACAGCAGCCAAUCAUAAUAAUCCUCUAAGAGACAGAGGCGGAGCCUGUUGGUUAGUGGACGUCAAUCCCUGGCUGUUUUAACCCAGAAAGUUCUGCGGGAGAAGAGAGAUAGGUCAUGUAAGAAGUUCUCAGCUCAAAGUAUUAAAAAAAUACUAUAAAUUGCUAGAAUUCAGUGCUGUAGAUAGUGAGUAAAUCACUACCAAGCUGACCGCUGUUAGAUUUGAGGCUGCAGAAUGGAGGAAGGGAGAGAGGCUCACUUAUUCUGCCUCGUGAAACUUUGCCAGUUACACGCUCCGGUAAUCUCCAGGUGGAGGUAGAACCUGGUGUCCAUGUGCCCUGGGGUGGUGUGUGAAAACCCUGGAUAGGAUUCGGCCAGUUUUUUUGUUGGGUGGAAUGGAUUGGAUGAUCUUCCCGAACACUCCUCGUGUCGUUCAGCUGCACAUGGCCGGUGCAGUGCGCGGUGCUAGGAUGGCGAGCCAAGCCCGAGGACCCAAGUGACUUCAUUACACUUCAUUCACAUUUUCAAACACUUGAUAGUGAACAUUAAAGAAAUUUGUGGACUUUGAAAUUAUUUGAGUAAAAAAGGACACUUUUAAUUUGUUUAUUUUUUUGAAAGAAAAGGGACACUUCUAUUUCAAUACAAAGACACUAAAAGGGUUAAACUUUUAAUUGGUUUGAUUACUGUUAUUUAAUUUAGAUAAUUUCUAAGUGGUUUUGAUAUUCAUUCAUUAUUGUUUUUGCUACAGAGAAUUGUUAUUUUUUAUUUUUGGUUGUUUGUUAAAGGGUGAACUAUUGGUGUAAAAUAACCUAGAGGUUUAAUUGGAUAACACUAAUUAUAACAAUACUUGCCUUAAAUUAAUAAUCCGUCAGACCUAGAAGGAAGAAAUAAUUAAUUAGUUAUAAAAUACCUAUAAAUAGAUUAAAAUAAUACUUACCUUAAACUGCAUAAAUACCUCUAAAAUAAAGAACACCGGUGAUUAGAGAAAUAAUAGUAAUUAAUAUAAUAUUAAAUAUACAAUACUGAAAUACAAAGGGGAAACUUAGCAUUUUCAUUGUUGACCAAGGUUAUUGAAGGUUGAAUUUCUUUUGGAAAAUGAGUAACUGUGAAUUGUUUAUUUAUUUAUUUACAGAAUUUGUUUAUUUUUGUUACAGUAUUUUAUUUAACUAUUGCAAUUGAUUCUGACAUUAUAAUACACUUUAUUGUUGCACAAAUUCUGGUCUCAUUUCUUCCAUGUGUAUUGCUCCUAGAGCGAACCUAACUGGUCCUAGUUAUCCUAAUUAUUUUAUCAAGUAAAACUCAUUGUAGUGGUUGUGUAAUUGGGUCUAUAUAUCUGUUGUGCUACACUCUACCCUGUUUUGUUCUUUGUAAUAAAUUAAAGAUUUAAUUUCA